rnacentral:rRNA from 1 species
AUUGAACGCUGGCGGCAGGCCUAACACAUGCAAGUCGAACGGUAACAGGAAGAAGCUUGCUUCUUUGCUGACGAGUGGCGGACGGGUGAGUAAUGUCUGGGAAACUGCCUGAUGGAGGGGGAUAACUACUGGAAACGGUAGCUAAUACCGCAUAAUGUCGCAAGACCAAAGAGGGGGACCUUCGGGCCUCUUGCCAUCGGAUGUGCCCAGAUGGGAUUAGCUAGUAGGUGGGGUAACGGCUCACCUAGGCGACGAUCCCUAGCUGGUCUGAGAGGAUGACCAGCCACACUGGAACUGAGACACGGUCCAGACUCCUACGGGAGGCAGCAGUGGGGAAUAUUGCACAAUGGGCGAAAGCCUGAUGCAGCUAUGCCGCGUGUAUGAAGAUGGCCUUCGGGUUGUAAAGUACUUUAAGCGGGGAGGAAGGGAGUAACGUUAAUACCUUUGCUCAUUGACGUUACCCGCAGAAGAAGCACCGGCUAACUCCGUG